CUCAAUGCCACUGGAAACAACAUCUAUGCCUCCCUUGCAUCCCCAUCACCUGUUCAGGCUCAUGGCAGGUGCUCAGGAGUAUUUGCUGCAAGACUGAGGAAUCAAACAAGCACUGUGCAGUUUUACAAUGCUCCCCUGUAUGUUGUCUAUUUGACAAAAGUGAGUAGGCUGGAUAUUGUUGUAACACUUCACAGAAUUUAACAGCUUCAAGAGUGAAUGGCUGCUAUGGACACAGUGUGUCAAUGUGUCAGCACAGUUCCUUGCGUUUACAAGUGGUCCUCUGUGUGAUCCCCCCAACAUCAUCAAGCCACUAUCUGGAGACUUGCUGGGGACAAUAAUGAGGGUCACAUUGCCGGGGAAGGACAGAACCCUGCAUUUUGUCCAAGUCCCUAUACUGCCAUGGCACUACUGAUGGCAUUACUUGCACCAUCUCCAUCUCAGGACCAAGAGUUCGGGAGAGAAAGAGCAGUGUGGCAUUUGUCCCUGAAUCUCUAAUCCCUAAUGCAAGGCUGGGCGCCGGUAGAUGUUGUAAAUACUGAUGACAUGGAUGUUGGGCUAGAUGGAGGGGGGUUGGCCGUGUGCCCCGGCUCUGUUGCAAGUGCAGAGUUUCUGCGUCUGUUCGUGCUAUGCCAUCAGAAGAUGGGGGCUGGGUUUCACUUGAGGCUGAUCUUGCACUGGGGUUGUCCUGGUCAUAAAACACGAGGGUGUGUCCUCACAGGGACAUAGUAAGCAGUGUCCCCGCCUGCCCGUGCAUCAGAUAUAUCUUGCUAAACACUCAAGGCAAAAUGAAAUGUCCUGGGAGAGCAAACAACCACCUCCCUCCUGUGCCAGUUUGCCUUAAGUGUGGCAGGCCAAGCAAAGUAUUAUAGACUUACCAGUCUUGAAGAUUUGCACAUCAAAUGUAAUGAAUGCCACUUCAGAGAUGUCAUAUGAAGACUCUAUGGUAUUGCAGUCACAGCUUUGUCACAAAGAAGCCAAACCUCAGUGGGCUUUAUGAACAUUUAAAACUGCACAGAAGCUUCUCCACUGCAAGUGGAGACUCCUCAAACCUGGGUCCUUGAGCAAGCCACUAAAUUCCAGAUGAUAACAUGACCCCUUCUGGACAUCCUUAGGUAGAUGACCUCUCCAACAUGUCUCAGAACCUCAUCUCUCCAGAGCCCUACAUCACUAGGGACAGAUAGAGACCAGCUGGGGGAUGGCUUGACCAGCCAGUGCCAAUGAAGAAGCAAUUACAAAGCCAGAACUCCUGUACCCCACAAAGAAUUUUGGUCCUUACUCCUGGAGAGGGAUGUCAAGGGAUAAUGAUAAGAGGGCUCUGAACCCCAGUUCCAUUGGGACCUAGAACUUUUGUGACAAAGAAUACUUGUUAUUGCACCAUCACUGAGAGGAAGAGAUUCUGGAGAGCACUGGAAGAAGUCAGGUGCCGUUUGAAAAGGAAGGACAACCAUGGGAUGAUUUCAUUCAGAAGUGAAAUGUAGAGAAUUGAAAUAAUAAACUUUAAAUAAUAAAAAAAAGUAAUCUACCCAUAACUAUGGGAGAACUAUGGUUGGUGGGGAGAGGGUGCACAGAACUUUGGUGGUGCGAGUCAGAUGGAAUCAUACCUCUGUUAUCUUAUAAUCAUUAUUAAAUCACUAAGAAAACAUAAAAACUGAAAAUAAAAUGCAUUCAUUUUAUUUGUUUGUUUAUUUUAUCUUUCAGGCAGUACAGACGAUCUAACUUAUAGUGAUCCUGGGUCCGUACUCCCAGAAAGAUAAAGAAUAGGGAAGCUGUCAAGGGUGGCGAGUGGAUACAGAGUUCUAGG